AAACCAGCACCUCAAGUGGUCAGGAGGAUUAUUGGGCCUAAAGCAUCCGUAGCCUGCUCUGUAAGAUUCCGGUUAAAUUCAUUAGCUCAACUAAUGGCCUGCCGGAAAUACUGCAGAGCUAGGAAGUGGGAGAGGUAGACGGUACUCGGUAGGAAGGGGUAAAAUCCUUUGAUCUAUUGAUGACCACCUGUGGCGAAGGCGGUCUACCAGAACACGUUCGACGGUGCGGGAUGAAAGCUGGGGGAGCAAACCGGAUUAGAAACCCGAGUAGUCC
rnacentral:rRNA from 1 species